rnacentral:rRNA from 1 species
GACGAACGCUGGCGGCGUGCUUAACACAUGCAAGUCGAACGCUGAAGCUCAGCUUUUGUUGGGUGGAUGAGUGGCGAACGGGUGAGUAACACGUGAGUAACCUGCCCCCUUCUUUGGGAUAACGCCCGGAAACGGGUGCUAAUACUGGAUAUUCACUGGUCUUCGCAUGGGGGUUGGUGGAAAGGGUUUUUCUGGUGGGGGAUGGGCUCGCGGCCUAUCAGCUUGUUGGUGGGGUGAUGGCCUACCAAGGCUUUGACGGGUAGCCGGCCUGAGAGGGUGACCGGUCACAUUGGGACUGAGAUACGGCCCAGACUCCUACGGGAGGCAGCAGUGGGGAAUAUUGCGCAAUGGGCGCAAGCCUGAUGCAGCGACGCCGCGUGAGGGAUGGAGGCCUUCGGGUUGUGAACUUCUUUCGCUCAUGGUCAAGCCGCAACAAUGGUUGUGGUGAGGGUAGUGGGUAAAGAAGCGCCGGCUAACUACGUG